UCUCUAUAUUGAAUAGAAAUAAGUCGAACAAUAGAACCCAUAUUUAGUCAUCCAAUGAGGAGAACCCAAAAGGAAAAACCUGAAUAAACCCUAGUAAUUCAAUUACUUACACCUAAACAACUAUCCCAGAUAAUGAUUUAAACAUUUAAUGGAAAAGAAUUCCAUUUCAAGAUCAGGUUUUCCCCAAAUUACCUUCAAUCGAAGGGUUAGAUUCUUCAAGCCUUAAUCCCCAGUCCAUGCUUGCCUCGGACACACCCUGGCUUCACAUACGAAAAUGGAUUCCGCUUGGAAUUCCCCAUUUUAGCAAACACCCUCUUCCCCAACUUCCUCAUCCUCUGCCUUCCUAACUUCGCGCUCACGUGCCAUGGAACGAGUUCAUCAUCCAGCCCAAACCCAUCUUCAUCACCAACCUCCUCGUCGUCUUCCUCCUGCUCCUCCAACUCAUCAGCAUCAGCGUCAGCCAGUCCGUAAGCCACACCAGAGAAAAUUAUAGGCCCUGCCUCACGCUGAUAACGACUAUAGUCACUUUCAUGACAAUAUUUGACAUGAUCGUCUUGAAAAUUCACAUCAACAACGAGAUCUUGAUCUUGGCGAGCCUCCAGGGUUUGAAUUUCUUGGUUGAUAAUUGGUGAUUUUGGUGGUGAAGAGGGUUUUAAAGAGUACAAAGAAAGGAACCCAUUUUCGAGGCUAUGUAGAGAUUCAGUAUCGGAGUCAGCAUCAGAUGGGUUAACGAGUUCCCAGUAACUAAGAUCAUUUGCUUCCUGCUCGUCAAGAAAAACAAGAUCGUCUUGGAAUAGUGAUUCAGCGGCUGCGAUGGCGGUGAUCGCCGCGGCUGAGGGAGAGGUGGAUUGCUUGGCCAUCGGGGGUGCAGUGAUCCUGAGUUUAACGUCGAUUUGUUUGCGGUGGGAUUCUGAUUUCUGAGGUUGUUUUCG
rnacentral:misc_RNA from 1 species